rnacentral:rRNA from 1 species
GACAGAGGAUGCAAGCGUUAUCCGGAAUGAUUGGGCGUAAAGCGUCUGUAGGUGGCUUUUUAAGUCCGCCGUCAAAUCCCAGGGCUCAACCCUGGACAGGCGGUGGAAACUACCAAGCUGGAGUACGGUAGGGGCAGAGGGAAUUUCCGGUGGAGCGGUGAAAUGCGUAGAGAUCGGAAGGAACACCAGUGGCGAAAGCGGCUUCCUGGUCCGACACCGACGUUCAGGCACGAAAGCGUGGGGAGCAAACAGG